UGGGGAAUAUUGGACAAUGGGCGGAAGCCUGAUCCAGCAACGCCGCGUGAGGGAUGACGGCCUUCGGGUUGUAAACCUCUUUCAGUAUCGACGAAGCGCCCGUGUGGGGUGGUGACGGUAGGUACAGAAGAAGCACCGGCCAACUACGUGCUAGCAGCCGCGGUAAUACGUAGGGUGCGAGCGUUGUCCGGAAUUAUUGGGCGUAAAGGGCUCGUAGGCGGUUUGUCGCGUCGGGAGUGAAAAACACUGGGCUUAACCGAGUGCUUGCUUCCGAUACGGGCAGACUUGAGGCAUUGAGGGGAGAACGGAAUUCCUGGUGUAGCGGUGAAAUGCGCAGAUAUCAGGAGGAACACCGGUGGCGAAGGCGGUUCUCUGGCAAUGUUCUGACGCUGAGGAGCGAAAGUGUGGGGAGCGAACAGGAUUAGAUACCCUGGUAGUCCACACCGUAAACGUUGGGCGCUAGGUGUGGGGCCUAUUCCAUGGGUUCCGUGCCGCAGCUAACGCAUUAAGCGCCCCGCCUGGGGAGUACGGCCGCAAGGCUAAACUUAAAGGAAUUGACGGGGUCAUAGCUGUUUCCU
rnacentral:rRNA from 1 species